rnacentral:SRP_RNA from 1 species
GCUGGGCGUGGUGGCGCACGCCUGUAAUCCCAGCUACUCAGGAGGCUGAGGUGGGAGAAUCACUUGAACCCAGGUGGCAGAGGUUACAGUGAGCUGAGAUGGUCCCACUACACUUCAGCCUGGGUGACAGAGUGAAACCCUGUCUCAA